AUGGCUGGAAUGUUUAUUCAUUAUCUUCCAGUAAUAAACCUGCUUUUCCUGCAAGCUCGUUAUUUACUCAUAUAUAUUUUGUGUGACAGGGAAGCUUUUUAUUUGUGUCAGUCAAGGAUGGAGUUUAAGCACACGAAAAAGACAAGCUUUUCGGUCAGGAGGAAAACAAAAAAUGGGAAAGAAAAGAAACUUUCAAUGAAAAAAAUAGAGCAGACAGAUGUGAACCUUCCACCAGAGGAACAGGCAUCUGGAGUUCCUGAUCUCAUUGCUCUAGAUGCUGAAGCACUUAACAAGAGAGUGCUUCAUGCUCUCAAAACAAUUUUGAGUGAUGAAUCAACCUCUGAGGACUUUGAUGCUGCAGUUGAGGUGCUGAAAACAUUGAGCAAACUGAAUAACAACUAUUCUCAAGACGGGCUUUUUGAGUACCUUCAAGAAAUAAAUCAGUUUGUGGAGAACCACUUUCCCACGCUGCCAGCAGAGGGACCACGGGGAUCUCAGUUGGAGCCGAUACAGGACUUUCAGAGAACACAGAGCAUGAUAAAUGAUAAGGUGCUUCGAUUAACACCUGCACUGAAAGAUGCUGGGCUGCUAGAUCAUCUGAUGGACAGUUACAGCCGUCACCUCUUUACCAACCUGGACCUGCUGCUAAACAGAGAUCUGUCUGUGAAAGAGAUCUUCUGCCUUCUGCUGUGGGGAAAAGAUGUUUUCUUCAGUUCAGACUCACAGCAUUUCUUCAGAGUGCACGACCCUCUGCUGUUGACAAAUUGGUUUGAGAGAGCAACGAAGAAACUGCUGCCAAAACUAAAGAAUGACAUCUCCACGACUCUACAGAACAUCCUGGACUAUGAUGCGCAAAAUAGACCAAAUGGAGACUCAAUGGAUGAAGAAACGUUCAUCAGAGUUCACUUAGAUGUCACUAAAUGUCUGAAUGCUGUUAUACAGAGUUCUAAGGAAUUUAGUCACACGCUGAUGUGUGCGGCACAAACACUCUGUCUUAAAGAGCUUCAUCAUUUUGUUCAGGAGUAAGUGUCUAAAAUGUCUUUACAUUAUCUAUCUAUUUAUUGUUAUGCAUAUUUUAAAAAAAUUUCUUUAAAAAAAAAACCAAAUAUUAUACAAAUUAAUAUGAACUAUUCUAUUAUUUAUUUAUUUUUCUAGGUAUGUGCAUGCAGAGAAAAAACGCCUGGAAAAACAACAACCCCUGAAGAAAAAUCCUGUGCAUCUGUUUCGGCUCAUCAGCACCUGUAGACAACUCAGGUGAUUUCUAUUUUUAAAGAUUAAUAUAUUUAUACAUUUAUAAAACCUGUCAGUGUAUAAUUAACUGACAUUUCCCUGUGCAUAAUUUUCUGAUUUAUCCUGCAUUAGAUUCAUAAAUUCAUUUUGUCAUAAAAACAGCCUUAUGCAUAUAUUUAUUUUGCUGUAGAUUUUUUGCUCCUCAACUCAACAAUCCAGAUAUAAACAACAGUGACGACCUCUCAAAAAUUAUCUGCAUGUUAGAGGAGAUGGAGGAUCACGCUCUGUCUAUUGUACAGAAGAUGAUGAAAGACGUUGCACAGGUAACAUCAUUUCAUCAUAAACAGUUUAUGUACAGAAGGAAAGUUGAGGACUUUCCCAGAUUCCAAAAAGGGAAUGUCUCAGUCAUCAAUAGAGGUUAAUAUUUGUUUGCUUACAUACCUGCUUAUCAGGUUUUUCAACAAUGAAUAGGUAACUCUUUGUAAUAAGGUUGAGUUUGUUACGUAGUAAAUCCAUUAGGUAUUAUGAACUAACAUUGAGCAAUACUUUUUAAACCUAGAGUUCAGUUUCAGUUUAAUUUAUUUACAUAGCACAUUUAAUAACGAAAGAGCCGACCAAAGUGCUGAACAGAAAAUAGAACAAAACUAAUAACAAUAAAACAAAAAAGAAUAAAAGAAAACACAAAGUACACAACACUAAAUUCACACAAAAUAAAACUGUAUACAGCAGUUACUCCAGUCCAUAAGACAUUUUAAAAAGAUAUGUCUUAAGUAAAGAUUUAAAAACCGGAACAGAAGUGGCUGAUCUGCCACAGAAAAUGCACGAUCCCCCUUGUGUUUUAAGCGUUUCCUAUUAACAGACAGCAACAGAGUGUUUGAUGACCUUAAUGGCCCAUCGAUCUGAUAAUGGGAGAGAAGAUCAGAUGAGUAGUUUGGUGCCAAGCCUGUCAGGGACUUAUAAACAAACAAUAAUACCUUAAACUAGAUUCUAUACUCAUGGGGGAACCAGUACAAACUAGCCAAAACAGGUGUAAUAUUUUCCCCCUUCCUAGUCCUAGUUAAAAGUCUGGCUGCAGCAUUUUGGACCAACUGAAGGCGAGACAAACAAGAUUGAGUGACCCCUAAAUAUAGUAAAUUACAAUAGUCCAGUCUUGAUGAAAUUAAUGCAUGGAUAACGGUCUCCAAGUCCCUGAAUAAAAGAAAAGAUUCAAAAUUCCUGAGCUGAAAAAAUGCUAAUUUGACAACUGAGUUUAUUUGUUUGUCAAAUUUAAGUGUAGGGUCAAAAAUAAAUCCCUAAUUUCUUGCAUAAAUACCUACAGUGUUAGUUAUAGGAACCAAUGUUUUUGAGAAGAUAUUGGCAGAACCCAGACAUCCAAAAACAUUUCAGUCUUAGAGUCGUUUAAUUGAAGGAAUUUAUCCUCCAUCCAACUUUGAACUUCACUGAAACAACCAAGUAAUGACUGGAGAGACAUAACUGGUAGAUAAAGCUGUUUUUCAUCUGCAUAACAAUGAUAUGAAAUCUGAUGCUUAUGAAAAAUAUUGGUUAAUGGAAGAAGAUAGAGGUAAAACAAAACAGGGCCUAAAACAGAUCCCUGUGGCACACCACAUGUACAUGCAGCAGAGGAUGAAGUAAAGU
rnacentral:lncRNA from 1 species